rnacentral:rRNA from 1 species
ACGCUGGCGGCACGCUUAACACAUGCAAGUCGAACGGAGUUGGAGGAGCUUGCUCUUUCAACUUAGUGGCGGACGGGUGAGUAACACGUGAGCAACCUACCUUCAAGCGGGGAAUAAUGGAGGGAAACUUCCACUAAUACCCCAUAAGAUAGUAUUUCCGCAUGGAGAAGCUAUCAAAGAUUUUAUUGUUUGAAGAUGGGCUCGCGUCCGAUUAGCCAGUUGGUGAGGUAACGGCCCACCAAAGCGACGAUCGGUAGCCGUACUGAGAGGUAGAACGGCCACAUUGGGACUGAGACACGGCCCAGACUCCUACGGGAGGCAGCAGUGGGGAAUAUUGCACAAUGGAGGAAACUCCUGAUGCAGCGAUGCCGCGUGAGGGAAGAAGGUUUUCGGAUUGUAAACCUCUGUAGUACGGGACGAAAAAAUGACGGUACCGUACAAGAAAGCUCCGGCUAACUACGUGCCAGCCGCCGC